CCUGUGCGCAGGAGCUAGCGUGUGAAACGAAAUGAAGCAGAUUUCAUUUAGAAUGAUUGACACGCUGUGCGCGCAGCUUCUUCAGGAGAAGCACGACACUGCCAGAGUCGACAAGCUCAUCGCUGGCGGCAUUCGCCAGCGCAUCAUCGACAAGGACACGCUGCCCCUCAUAAUUCAAAGGACUGCCGUGACUCAAGGGGAGUGGUGUCUGGCACUACGCGUUCUGCAGAGCCAGCAUCUAGACACUCAUCGUGUGCGGAGGGACGAUAGUAUCUGGGCGAUCGUGGACAAGGGGGUGCCAGACAAUGCCGCCAGCAAAAACUCUGCGCGAAAAGCGCUGCAGGCAAUCUACGGUUCGCGACUGCGAAAACAGUCACCGCCUCUGAUCCGCUAGAUACUUCCGCUCGUUGUCACUAAGCUGUCCACGACACCCACUAGAGGUACAAUGCGACGCAUCGGCCCGUGCUCUCUUUUCCACUACCUGUGGCGUACUGCGCUUUAGCGACAGUGAAC
rnacentral:misc_RNA from 1 species